rnacentral:tRNA from 3 species
GGAGAGGUGCCGGAGUGGUCGAACGGGGCGGUCUCGAAAACCGUUGUGGGGGCAACUCCACCCAGGGUUCGAAUCCCUGUCUCUCCGCCA